CAUAACGACUCUCGGCAACGGAUAUCUUGGCUCUCGCAUCGAUGAAGAACGUAGCGAAAUGCGAUACUUGGUGUGAAUUGCAGAAUCCCGUGAACCAUCGAGUCUUUGAACGCAAGUUGCGCCCGAAGCCUCACGGCCGAGGGCACGCCUGCCUGGGCGUCACGAA
rnacentral:rRNA from 1 species